GAUGAACGCUAGCUACAGGCUUAACACAUGCAAGUCGAGGGACCGGCGCACGGGUGAGUAACACGUAUCCCACCUGCCCUUUACUCGGUGAUAGCCUUUCGAAAGAAAGAUUAAUACCCGAUGUAAAGUAUGGGGAUGCGUUCAAUUAGUUUGUUGGUGAGGUAACGGCUAACCAAGCCUUCGAUGGCGAGGUGUUCUGAGAGGAAGGUCCCCCACAUUGGAACUGAGGCACGGUCCAAACUCGUACGGGAGGCAGCAGGGAGGAAUAUUGGUCAAUGGGCGUUAGCCUGAACCUGCCGAGUAUCGUGAAGGAUGAAGGCUUAUGGGUCGUAAACUACUUUUAUAUAAGAAUAUGUAUUAUAUGAAUAAGGAUCGGCUAACUCCGUGCCAGCAGCCGCGGUAAUAC
rnacentral:rRNA from 1 species